rnacentral:rRNA from 1 species
AUUGAACGCUGGCGGCAUGCUUUACACAUGCAAGUCGAACGGUAACAGGCCUUCGGGUGCUGACGAGUGGCGAACGGGUGAGUAAUGCAUCGGAACGUGCCCAGAGGUGGGGGAUAACGCAGCGAAAGCUGUGCUAAUACCGCAUGUGAUCUGAGGAUGAAAGCGGGGGACCAGGCAGCAAUGUUUGGCCUCGCGCCUUUGGAGCGGCCGAUGUCAGAUUAGGUAGUUGGUGGGGUAAAGGCCUACCAAGCCGACGAUCUGUAGCUGGUCUGAGAGGACGACCAGCCACACUGGGACUGAGACACGGCCCAGACUCCUACGGGAGGCAGCAGUGGAGAAUUUUGGACAAUGGGCGCAAGCCUGAUCCAGCAAUGCCGCGUGCGGGAAGAAGGCCUUCGGGUUGUAAACCGCUUUUGUACGGAACGAAAAGGCUCUGGCUAAUACCUGGGGCUGAUGACGGUACCGUAAGAAUAAGCACCGGCUAACUACGUG